rnacentral:lncRNA from 1 species
GACGGGUCAGCCCCCCGGAGCAGACACUGGCUUGUCCCGCCCGCCCCGGCGGGAGCCGUCGACCCUACACGGACUUCCCCAGGCUGUCCCCAGCUGUUGCUUUCGGAGCCCAAAAGAAACUGCCCAAGGAGUGGCAAGGCAGUUCUGGGGACGAAAAGGAACCUAAAUAGAGAUCGAGGGGGCCAUGCCACUGAAUCGGGGUCUUUUUUUAGAUUCGUUGUUGUUCCUCACUAUCUCCAAAAGAAAGAAACCCCAGAGCGAGGCUAACCACGCUCAAGAUUUCGAUGAGGAUUAGAGGCUGCAGGACCGACGGAGCGACCCAGGCAAAACGAUGCGGCUUUUUCCCUCUCCGGCCGUUACCCGGCAACACUGAUAUCAACACUUCCUCGAGUGUACGUCACAGAGCCGCUGCUUCUGGGGACUGCUGUCGAAAAGAUUAAAAGCGGAAGCAUCGCGAUAUUUCUUCGAAGCCUCACGAUUUGAGGCAAAGACACUUAAGAGCCGAGAUUACUAGAGGCUAGUGACGCUGAGGCAUCGGGAGAUAACCUCGAAACCGCAAAAUUGUGCACCUGGGUAGUUCCCGCUCCUGUGGUGCUUGAGGAGAAUGCGUGCGGUGGCCGGGUGCCUUCUCUGCUCCUUCACUCGGGUCACUCGCUUUGUCCCGGACCCGGGCCCUCCCUGAAUGCUUCCGGUAUUACUGUCCCACCAAUCCCGCUCCCCGGCUGGCCCACGGCAGUGCCGUCUCUAAAUAAACCCUGCACAGAUCCUCUGCCCUCUUCUGCGUUUUCAAAAGUCAUGGGACUAGUUCUCGAACGCUUCCUUUGUAAAUUAUGCACAUUCGCAC